rnacentral:rRNA from 1 species
GAUGAACGCUGGCGGCGUGCUUAACACAUGCAAGUCGAACGAUGAAGCCCAGCUUGCUGGGUGGAUUAGUGGCGAACGGGUGGGUAACACGUGAGUAACCUGCCCUUGACUCUAGGAUAAGCCCGGGAAACUGGGUCUAAUACUGGAUAGGAACGUCUACCGCAUGGUGGGUGUUGGAAAGAAUUUCGGUCAUGGAUGGACUCGCGGCCUAUCAGCUUGUUGGUGAGGUAAUGGCUCACCAAGGCGACGACGGGUAGCCGGCCUGAGAGGGUGACCGGCCACACUGGGACUGAGACACGGCCCAGACUCCUACGGGAGGCAGCAGUGGGGAAUAUUGCACAAUGGGCGAAAGCCUGAUGCAGCGACGCCGCGUGAGGGAUGACGGCCUUCGGGUUGUAAACCUCUUUCAGUAGGGAAGAAGCGAAAGUGACGGUACCUGCAGAAGAAGCACCGGCUAACUACGUG